CUAUGCGCCUUGCCAGCCCGCUCAGGUGUGCCAGCAGCCGCGGUAAUACGUAGGGGGCAAAGCGUUAUCCGGGAUUUACUGGGUGUAAAGGGGGCGCAGACGGCGAUGCAAGCCAGGAGUGAAAGCCCGGGGCCCAACCCCGGGACUGCUCUUGGAACUGCGUGGCUGGAGUGCAGGAGGGGCAGGCGGAAUUCCUGGUGUAGCGGUGAAAUGCGUAGAUAUCAGGAGGAACACCGGUGGCGAAGGCGGCCUGCUGGACUGCAACUGACGUUGAGCCCGAAAGCGUGGGGAGCAAACAGG
rnacentral:rRNA from 1 species